rfam:Schistosoma mansoni strain Puerto Rico chromosome W, complete genome
GCACUGCUGAGGAGUCCCAUAAUAGGACGAAACGGCCGACCAGUGC